AGAGAGAGACAUGCGCGCAUAUCAAUAAGCGGAGGAAAAGAAACUAACAAGGAUUCCCUUAGUAACGGCGAGUGAAGCGGGAAGAGCUCAAAUUUGAAAUCUUCAAGGUUCUACCUUGACGAAUUGUAGUUUAUAGAAGUGUUUUCUGUUAGUGGAGUGGCAAAAGUUCUUUGGAAUAGGACAUCAUAGAGGGUGAGAAUCCCGUAUUUGGUCAUUCCUCCUAGCGUUGUGAUACACUUUCAACGAGUCGGAUUGUUUGGGAAUGCAGUCCAAAAUGGGUGGUAAAUUUCAUCUAAAGCUAAAUAUUGGCGAGAGACCGAUAGCGAACAAGUACCGUGAGGGAAAGAUGAAAAGAACUUUGAAAAGAGAGUUAAACAGUACGUGAAAUUGUCAAAAGGGAAGCGUUUGACACCAGUGUUGUUUUUCCGAAAAUCAAUUACGAAUGUUUUGUUUUUGAGGAGUUAUGACUUCAUCGGCUUGCUCCUUUCUUUACGAAACUUUCUUAAUGCACUUUUCGGUUAACAAGUCAACAUCAAUUUCUUUUGUUGUAAAAGGGUAUGAGGAAGGGUGACUUUCUUUUCGGAGAAAGUGUUUAUAGCCUUGGCUUCUGCAAUCGGAGAGAUUGAGGUCUGCAGCGUAGAUCCUUCGGGGCUAGAUACGUAGAUGCUAAGUUAUAGUUUUUCAUAGACAACUUGUUGACUAUAGUUAGUCAUGUAGCUUACUCGUUGACGCUAUUUUACCUACGCUUAGGAUGUUGAUAGUCACAGCGUGUAC
rnacentral:rRNA from 1 species